UAGCCUUCCUAACCACUCCACCUCAUGGCUGCAAAAUGGCCGGUCCAGGACCCUUCCCACAGAGUUGGUUGCCCGGCUUCCAUUGCUUCCUCUAAACCAAAGCACUAAAAAAGGAAGGUGAAAAGCCAAGCCCGCAAAGCAUUAACUUCAAGCCACCAGCUUCCUCUGUGGGGUCUUUAUCUCCAUUUCCUUGGCCAUGGGGCCUUUUAUUGGUUCUAAUUCUCAUUUUAUGCUACUUGAAAGAUGUAUGAUCCAAGGCACUACCACCAACCAAAUCCUUACGGACCAUACCCUGCGCAAGGUUAUUAUCAGGGGCCUCCUGUAAUGGCUCCACCUCAAUAUGCUCCUCCUCCUCCUCCAUCCAAAAAAAACAAUGGGUUUUUAGCAGGAUGCCUUGCGGUUCUAUGUUGUUGUUGCGUCGUCGACGAAUGUUGCGAGUGUUGUUGUGAUCCAUUGAUUUUUUUGGCUAGUUGAUUAUCACUAUUUUAGUAGCAUUUGUGAAUCAUUGAUUCAGAGAGGUUUUUAUUUUUUUUAAGAGAAAUGAGAUGAUUGUACCUGCAAACUAUCACUUUGUACAUGUUAGUUCAGAUUGAUAUCUCCAAAAAUCUUGACAAAUCAAAAUGAAGGCAAGAGAUUGAC